rnacentral:rRNA from 1 species
UACAGGGGUGGCAAGCGUUGUUCGGAAUUACUGGGCGUAAAGGGCGCGUAGGCGGCCAUCUAAGUCAGACGUGAAAUCCCCCGGCUUAACCUGGGAACUGCGUCUGAUACUGGACGGCUUGAGUAUGGGAGAGGGAUGUAGAAUUCCAGGUGUAGCGGUGAAAUGCGUAGAUAUCUGGAGGAAUACCGGUGGCGAAGGCGGCAUCCUGGACCAUUACUGACGCUGAGGCGCGAAAGCUAGGGGAGCAAACGGG